CUACGGGCGGCUGCAGUGAGGAAUUUUGCGCAAUGGGGGGAACCCUGACGCAGCAACGCCGCGUGAGUGAUGAAGGCUUUCGGGUCGUAAAGCUCUGUCAAGUGGGAAGAACCUAUGCAGUGUUAAUAUCACUGUAUACUGACGGUACCACUGAAGGAAGCACCGGCUAACUCCGUGCCAGCAGCCGCGGUAAUACGGGGGGUGCAAGCGUUAUUCGGAAUCAUUGGGCGUAAAGGGCACGUAGGCGGCUUGGUAAGUCAGAUGUGAAAGCCCAGGGCUUAACCCCGGAAGUGCAUUUGAUACUGUCAGGCUUGAGUAUGGGAGAGGGAAGUGGAAUUCCUGGUGUAGAGGUGAAAUUCGUAGAUAUCAGGAGGAACACCGGUGGCGAAGGCGACUUCCUGGACCAAUACUGACGCUGAGGUGCGAAGGCGUGGGUAGCAAACAGGAUUAGAUACCCUGGUAGUC
rnacentral:rRNA from 1 species